rnacentral:rRNA from 1 species
UGUUUUAUGAAUUUACAUAUAAAAUAAUCUCCUGCCCAGUGAUAUAUUUCAACGGCCGCGGUAUCCUAACCGUGCAAAGGUAGCAUAAUAACUUACCCAUUAAUUGUGGGCUAGAAUGAAAGGGGUAACGAAAUUGAUUCUGUAUCAUAAAAUCUACCAUAAAUUAUUAUUUAAGUGAAGAAACUUGAAUAAAGUUAAAGGACAAGAAGACCCUAUAGAGCUUUAUUUAUUUAAUAUAUCAUAUAUUAUUUAAUUAGGUUGGGGCGACCCUGGAUAAAUCAUCCAUAAUUAGUAAGAUAAACAAAUCAAAUAAAAGAUCCUUAACAAGACAUUGAAUCAAGCUACCUUAGGGAUAACAGGCUAAUUUUACUCACGAGUUCAUAUCACAAGUAAAGAUUGGCACCUCGAUGUUGGCUUAGAAAAUCUAUGUGGCGCAAAAGUCGCAAAUAGAUGGUUUGUUCAACCAUUAAAUUUC